GAUGAACGCUGGCGGCGUGCUUAACACAUGCAAGUCGAACGAAGCACUUUAUUUGAUUUCCUUCGGGACUGAUUAUUUUGUGACUGAGUGGCGGACGGGUGAGUAACGCGUGGGUAGCCUGCCUUGUACAGGGGGAUAACAGUUGGAAACGGCUGCUAAUACCGCAUAAGCGCACGGCAUCGCAUGAUGCAGUGUGAAAAACUCCGGUGGUAUAAGAUGGACCCGCGUUGGAUUAGCUAGUUGGUGAGGUAACGGCCCACCAAGGCGACGAUCCAUAGCCGACCUGAGAGGGUGACCGGCCACAUUGGGACUGAGACACGGCCCAAACUCCUACGGGAAGCAGCAGUGGGGAAUAUUGCACAAUGGGCGAAAGCCUGAUGCAGCGACGCCGCGUGAGCGAAGAAGUAUUUCGGUAUGUAAAGCUCUAUCAGCAGGGAAGAUAAUGACGGUACCUGACUAAGAAGCACCGGCUAAAUACGUG
rnacentral:rRNA from 1 species